rnacentral:rRNA from 1 species
UGCCAGCCGCCGCGGUAAUACGAAGGGUGCUAGCGUUGUUCGGAAUUAUUGGGUUUAAAGGGUGCGUAGGCGGCCCUAUAAGUCAGUGGUGAAAGUCUUCGGCUCAACCGGAGGACUGCCAUUGAAACUGUAGGGCUUGAGUACAGUAGAGGUAGGCGGAAUUUAUGAUGUAGCGGUGAAAUGCAUAGAUAUCAUAAAGAACACCUAUAGCGAAGGCAGCUUACUAUGCUACGAUUGACGCUGAGGCACGAAAGCGUGGGGAGCGAACAGGAUUAGAUA